CCUACACUGAAAAAAAUGGACUUGGUGGGUCUUUGAAUUUAAAUAAAAUAAACAUGUAUAUGCAAAACAAAAUAUUUAUAUUCCUUGUGUAAACAUAAUUUAAUUGAUUAGGAUGAAAAUGUUUUGUUUGAAUGUAAAAUGAACACAUUAUUCUCACAUUGAUUAAAAUUGAUUGAAUUGAAUAGUUAAAGCAAUAAAAUUGAGUAAGCAAACAAAACGGCACCUCCUGAGCAGAAGGUGGCAGUAACGCUCAAUGAAAAGGAUGUCAACUGCCAUAAAAGAAGAAUAAACAUCGUUUGUUUUGGGCGCCAAAAUGAAGACUCAGCAGCAGUCAGUCAGUCAGAAGAACUCUCUCAGACGGACACCACGUUAUUAAAGUCCAUCAUCCUUUCAUACGCUACACACUCAAAAGCAUUGAUAAAUGCUGAAUUUAAAAGAAUCACUACUGUCUAAUGUUCCUGUGUCACCUGGACCUCCAAUCCAAAAACCUGACGAAACUCUUCUAUCAGAAAGGAGGACAGCUAGCAAAAAGACUUGGAACAAUCAAUGAUCAAAUGACAGAAGUAAGUAAUAUAGAUUCAUAGACAUAAAAAUGUGUAAACCUUGUUGGAAGUACAGAACAUUUAGUAUGUUUUAGUUACAUCUUUUGGCACAAGGGUCAUUAAAACACCUGGGAAGAUUUAAAGGGGUAGUUCACCCAAAAAUAAAAAUUCUCAUCACUUACUCCCUAUCAUGUUGUUACAAACCUGUAUAAAUGUCUUUGUUCUGAUGAACACUAAGGGGUCAGUCACACCAAAAGCGCUUUAAACGCUUGCAAACGCAAGGCGCGACGCACUGCCUUUUUUAAAAAAGAGCAGUGCGGCGCAGCUUUUCAUAUUGCUAAGCAACCACCGAGUCAGCUGUCUUGUCAAUCAAAUAUUGAAGCGUGAGUGCUCUUUUGCUGUUAACUGUCAUAUUAGCAGAAACUUUAAAAAGAGGACGCUUGCUCUGACCUUGUUUGAGGGUGAGAGGUGCACAAACACACAGGAGAUAGUGAGCGAGUGGAGUCCGGUUCUUCAAAGCAACUGUAAACUUCCCUCACCACAACGUAAGGCCCGCCUCUCCCCUCAUUCGAUUGGACAAUGGAAGACGCAAAUGACGUCAGGCGCUUCUCCACUCUCAGCGCUCCUUCAAAAACGCGUGCGCGGCAGGCGGCAGAAAACCGCAAGGCGCUCGACGCGCAUAAACAGCGCGCAAACGUGCCCUGCCCAUAGAAUAUCAUUCAAAAAAGGCGCCUGCAACUGCCUGCAAACGCUUUUGGUGUGACUGAGCCCUUAGGAAGAUUUUUUUUAAAGGAAUGUUUGUACCCAAACCAAUCAUAAGCCCCAUUCACUUCCAUAGUGGGGAAAUAUAAUACUAUGGAAGUGAAUGGGGCUCAUGAACAGUUUGGUUGCAAACAUUCCUCAAAAUAAAUGUCUUCCUUCGUGUUCAUCAGAACAAAGACAUUUAUACAGGUCUGUAACAACAUGAGAGUGAGAAAAUGAGAUAAUUUUGCUGUGAUUGUCAGGUAUGGUAGCACACACUUGAAAUGUGGCCUCUUUAUUUAACACACACACACACACACACCUGGAGCAGUGGACAGUGCAGCUGCCUUGCUUUGUAACCCAUGUAUUUGUAACCAAUUGUAACAUGCUGUGGCAAUGCACAUGGGUCUGUAUACUUACAUUUAUAUUUGUUUGCAUUGUACUAAUUUCCAAUGACACUUUUAUUGUAACAGUAACUUUUUUCUGUUUC